GAGUGCGCCGUACCUCGUAUAGAGCAGUAGGGUUUCUUUUUAUCUUUUGAUCAUCCUUGUUCUCAAAUGUUUAGAACAGAUGGUGGGUAUUCCAAGAACCCUUCUGUUCCUCGAAAAGAAGAGAGUCAAAUGCAAACCCUAAUUUCCCUUUCAGAUCACGACGCUUUACGUCGAAUCGAAUCCAUGAUUUACCAGAAAAAGAUCCCUUGUGUUUGUACUCGUCGAGAAUAAUAUUGCAACUAUUCAUUCUGCGUGCAUCAAGGAGACCGUGAUUCCGAAGUUUGAUCAUGUAAGUUCUAAUUCAGAUGCUGUUGUUUCCAUUUUGCUUUUGGGAGUAUUAGGGUAUUAACUAGUAUAAGAAUUCAUUUGGAGGAAUCAAAAUAUGUCAGAUUUUUGGUUAUGUGAUUUGUAACAUGAUCCCUAAUAUAGAUAACUUAUAUAAACUGAUGCAGGCAGUGAAUGGUUUGCUCAGGGGAGGAGGGACCUCGAGUUCAAGCGAGGAUCUGCAUGUGUUUGAAGGAGGAGUGGUGGGGCUGCUACCGUUUCCGCCGUCGAAGAAGCGGUAUCGGAGGAAGUUUACUGUGGAGCAGAAAGAGAGGAUGAGGGUGGAGGAUUCAGAAGCUGGCUGAGAAAAAAGUGGAGUGAUUUGGGUGGAGGUUUGGAAUUAAGAAGCAGGAGCUUAGCUAGGGUUUGGAUGCACAACAAGAAGUGAGAUUUGGGAAUGUGGAGGGAGAGGAAGGGGAAGUAGCUGAUCAAGAUUAAGGGGGCGUUUGUUGCGCCAGAUUAUCUCGGACUGGACUAGCUUCAAGGACUAAGCUGGACUGGCUUAGACUAGACUAAGCUGGACUAACUUAAUGAAGCGUUUGGUGCAGUGUUGGACUAAGAAGCUGGAUAAUAACAAAUUCUAAUAUUAUAUUAUUUAAUAUAUAAAUUAUUAAUAUUUUAUUAUGAUCUAGGUGACCGGAGAUGACGAGGAGUCUAUCGGGAGUGGUUGUUGAGCAUGACGAUGACGAGAGAUGAUAGUCUUAGCUAGUCCUAUGGUUAUUGGGGGGUCUCGCUAAGACCUCUUAGUGAAGGGUUUUGUCCAUGCUAGUCCCCUUUAGUCUCAUUAAUGUUAGUCCCAGUAUGGAACAAACACAGUAUUUGACUAACAGCUAGUCCAGUCCAGUCCCACUUAGUGAGGGUACUGACAAAGAAUUAAGAGGGUUAAUUAAGUGAGAUUUGUAAAAGUUCAUAAUGUGUAAUACCCUUUUAAUUAUCGAAUCAAUGAUUUACCAAAUGAUUGUAACCUUUCAAUUAUGUAAUAACAUAUCAGUUUUUCAUUUGGAACUAGCAUAUGGGCACGCAGAAAAUAUGUGUGAAAGUUUUUUAUUUCUGUUUUUAAAAUGGGAGGAGAAAGGAAGAGAG
rnacentral:lncRNA from 1 species